GAACGUCAAUCACCAACCCGGGCUAACUAUUGGCUGAUUUGUAACAAGGGGCGAGAGGGGGCGGGGCUUGGUCUUCCCGCCAACGAAGGUCGCCGCCACCUCCCUCCUCAGGCGCCUCUUCAGAUGGCAGGACCUGGAGCUGGUCCUGUACAUCAGCUGGGAGCUGGUGAAGGGAUUUGUCAUUCUCCAGCAGCAGGAAGGAGCACACUCCAGCAGCCAGUUCCUUAACACGGAUUCCACUUUCUCGUAAGGAGAACAGCAUAACCCAGGCACUGCUACAUCUUAACACAGGAUGGUCUCAGGAGUCAAAUCCAUGCAGACAUUAAAUAGAAGAACCCAUUUUCAAGUUAAUUU